CCUACGGGAUGCAGCAGUGGGGAAUAUUGCACAAUGGGGGGAACCCUGAUGCAGCGACGCCGCGUGAGUGAAGAAGUAUUUCGGUAUGUAAAGCCCUAUCAGCAGGGAAGAAAGAAGACGGUACCUGACUAAGAAGCCCCGGCUAACUACGUGCCAGCAGCCGCGGUAAUACGUAGGGGGCGAGCGUUAUCCGGAUUCACUGGGUGUAAAGGGAGCGUAGACGGCCGUGCAAGCCAGGAGUGAAAGCCCGGGGCCCAACCCCGGGACUGCUCUUGGAACUGUGCGGCUGGAGUGCGGGAGGGGCAGGCGGAAUUCCUGGUGUAGCGGUGAAAUGCGUAGAUAUCAGGAGGAACACCGGCGGCGAAGGCGGCCUGCUGGACCGCGACUGACGUUGAGGCUCGAAAGCGUGGGGAGCGAACAGGAUUAGAUACCCUUGUAGUC
rnacentral:rRNA from 1 species